CACGUAGGGGCCAAGCGUUGUCCGGAUUUAUUGGGCGUAAAGAGCUCGUAGGCGGUUCGGUAAGUCGGGUGUGAAACCUCCAGGCUCAACCUGGAGAGGCCACCUGAUACUGCUGUGACUCGAGUCCGGUAGGGGAGCGUGGAAUUCCUGGUGUAGCGGUGAAAUGCGCAGAUAUCAGGAGGAACACCAGCGGCGAAGGCGGCGCUCUGGGCCGGAACUGACGCUGAGGAGCGAAAGCGUGGGUAGCAAACAGG
rnacentral:rRNA from 1 species